AUUGAACGCUGGCGGCAGGCCUAACACAUGCCAGUCGAGCGGAUGAAGGGAGCUUGCUCCUGGAUUCAGCGGCGGACGGGUGAGUAAUGCCUAGGAAUCUGCCUGGUAGUGGGGGAUAACGUCCGGAAACGGGCGCUAAUACCGCAUACGUCCUGAGGGAGAAAGUGGGGGAUCUUCGGACCUCACGCUAUCAGAUGAGCCUAGGUCGGAUUAGCUAGUUGGUGGGGUAAAGGCCUACCAAGGCGACGAUCCGUAACUGGUCUGAGAGGAUGAUCAGUCACACUGGAACUGAGACACGGUCCAGACUCCUACGGGAGGCAGCAGUGGGGAAUAUUGGACAAUGGGCGAAAGCCUGAUCCAGCCAUGCCGCGUGUGUGAAGAAGGUCUUCGGAUUGUAAAGCACUUUAAGUUGGGAGGAAGGGCAGUAAGUUAAUACCUUGCUGUUUUGACGUUACCAAAAGAAUAAGCACCGGCUAACUUCGUG
rnacentral:rRNA from 1 species